CUUGUGGCGUGCUCUAUGGUUAUUGUGUUUUAGGAUAUUUUAAAGAGAAUCUCCCUCUUGACUCUAAAACGGGAAACUCCUCUGCCUCUUUGGACCAGCCUCUUCUUAAAAAAGACGGAUAUGAGUGAAGACAGGACUUUUGGACCUACAGAUUUUUCCAAAAUGCAGCUACCAUGGCUGUGUUUGAGCAAAGGUAUCUUACCCCAACUGAGCCCCAACCCAUUACCCAAUUUUGGUUAUUUUGGGCUCCAGUAACAAGCAUAAAUUGCCUCUAAUGGAAACCUCCAAUGCUCAAUUUUACCUCAAAAUCAUUGAUUAUGUUCAAAGAUUCAAACAUGAACUUUUAUCUGGGAGGGAAUCUGGGAAUUGAGUGAUGUUGGUGUGUGCUACUGUGCAACAAAUAUCUUGCACCUAAAUCAAGAUAAUAAAGUCAGGUUGACCAAAUAUAUUUUGAGUCAAUGUGACAUGUCCAGAAUCUAAAAUAAAUGCUUGUAGCACCAAUGACCGACACAAGCAGUGUUCUCAA